rnacentral:rRNA from 1 species
CAGCAGCCACGGUAAUACAGAGGGUGCGAGCGUUAAUCGGAUUUACUGGGCGUAAAGCGUGCGUAGGCGGCUUUUUAAGUCGGAUGUGAAAUCCCUGAGCUUAACUUAGGAAUUGCAUUCGAUACUGGGAAGCUAGAGUAUGGGAGAGGAUGGUAGAAUUCCAGGUGUAGCGGUGAAAUGCGUAGAGAUCUGGAGGAAUACCGAUGGCGAAGGCAGCCAUCUGGCCUAAUACUGACGCUGAGGUACGAAAGCAUGGGGAGCAAACAGGAUUAGAUACCCCAGUAGUCCCUGUCUCUUAUAC